rnacentral:rRNA from 1 species
UAGGGAAUAUUGGGCAAUGGAGGAAACUCUGACCCAGCAACGCCGCGUGAAGGAUGAAGGUUUUCGGAUUGUAAACUUCUGAUCUGUGGGAAAAAAGAAAUGAUGGUACCACAGGAGAAAGCCACGGCAAACUACGUGCCAGCAGCCGCGGUAAUACGUAGGUGGCAAGCGUUGUCCGGAAUAACUGGGCGUAAAGGGUGCGUAGGUGGUUUGCUAAGUUAAAUGUGAAAGCCCAGGGCUCAACUCUGGAACUGCAUUUAAUACUGGCAAGCUGGAGUGCAGGAGAGGUAAGUGGAAUUCCUAGUGUAGCGGUGGAAUGCGUAGAUAUUAGGAGGAACACCAGAGGCGAAGGCGACUUACUGGACUGUAACUGACACUGAGGCACGAAAGCGUGGGGAGCAAACA